rnacentral:rRNA from 1 species
GACGAACGCUGGCGGCGUGCUUAACACAUGCAAGUCGAACGGAAAGACCCUGCUUUUGUGGGGUGCUCGAGUGGCGAACGGGUGAGUAACACGUGAGUAACCUGCCCUUGACUUUGGGAUAACUUCAGGAAACUGGGGCUAAUACCGGAUAGGAGCUCCUGCUGCAUGGUGGGGGUUGGAAAGUUUCGGCGGUUGGGGAUGGACUCGCGGCUUAUCAGCUUGUUGGUGGGGUAGUGGCUUACCAAGGCUUUGACGGGUAGCCGGCCUGAGAGGGUGACCGGCCACAUUGGGACUGAGAUACGGCCCAGACUCCUACGGGAGGCAGCAGUGGGGAAUAUUGCACAAUGGGCGGAAGCCUGAUGUAGCAACGCCGCGUGCGGGAUGACGGCCUUCGGGUUGUAAACCGCUUUCGCCUGUGACGAAGCGUGAGUGACGGUAAUGGGUAAAGAAGCACCGGCUAACUACGUG